AUUGAACGCUGGCGGCAUGCCUUACACAUGCAAGUCGAACGGCAGCACGGGAGCAAUCCUGGUGGCGAGUGGCGAACGGGUGAGUAAUACAUCGGAACGUGCCCAGUAGUGGGGGAUAACCCGGCGAAAGCCGGACUAAUACCGCAUACGACCUACGGGUGAAAGCAGGGGAUCGCAAGACCUUGCGCUAUCGGAGCGGCCGAUGUCAGAUUAGCUAGUUGGUGGGGAGAAGCCCACCAAGGCGACGAUCUGUAGCUGGUCUGAGAGGACGACCAGCCACACUGGGACUGAGACACGGCCCAGACUCCUACGGGAGGCAGCAGUGGGGAAUUUGGACAAUGGGCGCAAGCCUGACUCC
rnacentral:rRNA from 1 species